rnacentral:tRNA from 1 species
GGGAAUGUAGCUCAGUGGUGGAGUACAUGCUUAGCAUGCAUGAGGCUCUUGGUUUAGACCCCAGCAUUUCUA